rnacentral:lncRNA from 1 species
GAACCUGAUGCCAGCAAUUUAAGGAUCUUCACAUUCAGUCUCAGUGGAGACAUUAAUGACCUAGUAAACAAAAGCAGAAGAGCCUCGUUUG